rnacentral:rRNA from 1 species
UACAGGGGGGGCAAGCGUUGUUCGGAAUUACUGGGCGUAAAGGGCCAGUAGGCGGCCAACUAAGUCACACGUGAAAUCCCCAGGCUUAACCUGGGAACUGCGUGUGAUACUGGAUGGCUUGAAUUCGGGAGAGGGAUGCAGAAUUCCAGGUGUAGCGGUGAAAUGCGUAGAUAUCGGGAGGAACACCAGUGGCGAAGGCGACUACCUGGCCUGUUCUUGACGCUGAGGCGCGAAAGCUAGGGGAGCAAACGGG